rnacentral:rRNA from 1 species
AUUGAACGCUGGCGGAAUGCUUUACACAUGCAAGUCGAACGGCAGCACGGGGGCAACCCUGGUGGCGAGUGGCGAACGGGUGAGUAAUACAUCGGAACGUGCCCAGUCGUGGGGGAUAACGUAGCGAAAGCUACGCUAAUACCGCAUACGAUCUACGGAUGAAAGCGGGGGAUCGCAAGACCUCGCGCGAUUGGAGCGGCCGAUGGCAGAUUAGGUAGUUGGUGGGGUAAAGGCUCACCAAGCCGACGAUCUGUAGCUGGUCUGAGAGGACGACCAGCCACACUGGGACUGAGACACGGCCCAGACUCCUACGGGAGGCAGCAGUGGGGAAUUUUGGACAAUGGGCGCAAGCCUGAUCCAGCCAUUCCGCGUGCAGGAUGAAGGCC